rnacentral:rRNA from 1 species
UACGGAGGGGGCUAGCGUUGUUCGGAAUUACUGGGCGUAAAGCGCACGUAGGCGGCUUUGUAAGUUAGAGGUGAAAGCCCGGAGCUCAACUCCGGAACUGCCAUUGAAACUGUGAGACUUGAGUACGAGAGAGGUGAGUGGAAUUCCCAGUGUAGAGGUGAAAUUCGUAGAUAUUGGGAAGAACACCGGUGGGCGAAGGCGGCUCACUGGCUCGUAACUGA